AGUUCUGUGGUCUAAUGGGUUCGUCAUCUCCAGCGCAUCAGCACCGCACAACAUCAAACUAACCGUCUUUCAGUUAUGAUAUCUCGUUCACAACAGGUUGAACAUGUUCCGAGAUGGUUCUGGGUUCGAUCCCCAGCAGAACUA